UACGUAGGAUGCAAGCGUUGUCCGGAAUUACUGGGCGUAAAGGGCGAGCAGGUGGCAAGUCAAGUCUGAUGUGAAAUCUCCCGGCUUAACUGGGAGGGGCCAUUGGAAACUGACUAGCUGGAGUGCAGGAGAGGCUAACGGAAUUCCCGGUGUAGAGGUGAAAUUCGUAGAUAUCGGGAGGAACACCGGUGGCGAAGGCGGCGACCUGGGUCGAUACUGACGCUGAGGUGCGAAAGCGUGGGGAGCAAACAGG
rnacentral:rRNA from 1 species